rnacentral:rRNA from 1 species
GUAGGUGGCAAGCGUUGUCCGGAAUUAUUGGGCGUAAAGCGCGCGCAGGUGGUUCUUUAAGUCUGAUGUGAAAGCCCCCGGGCUCAACCGGGGAGGGUCAUUGGAAACUGGGGAACUUGAGUGCAGGAGAGGAAAGUGGAAUUCCACGUGUAGCGGUGAAAUGCGUAGAUAUGUGGAGGAACACCAGUGGCGAAGGCGACUUUCUGGCCUGUAACUGACACUGAGGCGCGAAAGCGUGGGGAGCAAACAGGAUUAGAUACCCUGGUAGUCCACGCCGUAAAUGAUGAGUGCUAAGUGUUGGGGGGUUUCCGCCCCUCAGUGCUGCAGCUAACGCAUUAAGCACUCCGCCUGGGGAGUACGGUCGCAAGACUG